AUUCAGCUGACGAGUCACAAGUGGGACGAAAUGCGCAUCCUGGAU
rnacentral:hammerhead_ribozyme from 1 species